GCAUAGCGGGGCCGUUCCUCCGUCCUCAGCUCUGGCGGGAGGCUGCGGAGAGCUGGGCUCGGCUCCGCUCCGGGUCGCAGCGACGACGGGCCAGAGAGUGCGGCCUUAAAUUGCAGCACGGGAGGUGCAGGGUGGAUGUUAGGGAAGGUCUGUGCUCAGAAGGAGCAGGGAUGUGCUGGCACAGCCGCACAGGGAGCGGUGGGGUCACCGUGCAUGGUGGUGUUCAGUGAGAUGAGGCACUGAGGGAUGUGGGCACGGUGGGUUGGGUUGGACUGGAUGAUCACAGAGCUCUUUUCCAGCCUUAAUGCUUCUAAGAUUUUGCUUAGAGAAAGAUAGCAGCUGUUACCUCCCUAUUUUGUGAAAUAAUUCAUUAGAGAUCUGAAAACCACGUCUCGUUGCAGCUGGAGCAGCUUGGCAGUCGGUAACUAAGCAGCUGAUAGGAGCAAGCAGGGCUUGAGAGCUCCGUGUAAGGCAUCUGUGUUCCUGGUGGAGCUGGAGGCAUUUAAGAACACGUCAGUGGUGGUCUGCAUGCACACAAAGAGGAUGACAAAAAUAACGAAACAUUGAAACUUGCAAUCAGCAGUUCUGGAUGUUGCAGCCUAAAAUACACACGAGAUACCGACCUGUUGGGAUGCUGAGCUCCAGCUGCUUGAUUCUUUGAUACACAGUGCUCCAUUUGGCCACCGAAUGUGCUGCCCUUGUCACAAAUUCCUGCAGGACAGAUUCCACGUUAGGUGAAUGAUCUGGUGGUGUGGGGUUUGUGAGGAGCAGGGAAGUAUGUGGGGUGUGGAGUCAGUGGGAAGUGUAAAUCCUGCCCUGAAUGAGAAGAGAAGCGCGCAGUGUGAGCAGUGAGACAGAACACGAAAAGAUGCUGUCUUCAUUUUUUGCACUACUGGUGAUUUUUGAUCACGAGCUUGAAUCUGUCACAGUGAGCGCCUUGGGUUUGUGUACAUGUGCUUGUCACUGAGCUCAGAGAGCAGCUUGUUGGCAUCAGGGAGGUGAAGCGAUCCCUCAGCUGUGUUAAGACCAUAAAAGCCAGAGGAUAAACAUUCUUCUUGUGCUGCUUUUCAGGUUCUGGGCAAGAUGACCACGCUCACACGACAGGACCUUAAUUUUGGGCAAGUUGUUGCAGAUGUUCUUUCAGAAUUUCUAGAAGUGGCCGUUCAUCUCAUCUUGUACGUUAGAGAAGUUUACCCUAUUGGGAUCUUUCAGAAGAGGAAAAAAUACAACGUGCCCGUCCAGAUGUCCUGCCACCCAGAGCUCAAUCAGUACAUCCAGGACACGUUGCACUGUGUAAAGCCACUGCUUGAGAAGAAUGACGUGGAGAAAGUUGUAGUUGUAAUCCUGGAUAAAGAGCACCACCCAGUGGAGAGAUUUGUCUUCGAAAUCACCCAGCCGCCCCUGCUUUCCAUUAGUUCAGAGUCCCUGCUGUCCCACGUGGAGCAGUUACUGCGUGCCUUCAUCCUGAAGAUAAGCGUGUGUGAUGCUGUGCUGGACAACAAUCCCCCAGGCUGCACCUUCACAGUUCUGGUUCACACACGAGAGGCUGCUACACGCAACAUGGAGAAGAUCCAGGUGAUAAAGGAUUUCCCAUGGAUUCUUGCUGAUGAACAGGAUGUGCACAUGCACGACCCCCGGCUUAUCCCACUGAAAACUAUGACUUCUGACAUCUUAAAGAUGCAGCUUUAUGUAGAAGAACGAGCCCACAAAGGCACCUGAUUUCAACUCUUCCUUUUCUUCAAGCCUCAUCAGAUCUUCCAGCGGAGUAAGAUCUCUCACCAACCAUACCUUGAUAGCCCAGCCUCCUCAGCUGGCCUUCUGGAUGAAUGUAGAGCAGCUGCUGCCUCUUUAUUUCAAGUGCUCUUACCAGUGUAUAUAGAACUGACUUGGAAUGUGGAGCCAGAGCCUGUUCCCAUGUACACUCAUGUGUGAGAGACAUCUCCAUUGCACACUGGUAGUGCUAACCAGGGAUCUGCUGUGUGCUCCACUAGAGCAAUGGUCUGAUACCAUGCGCGAGUGAGGCCUUAUGUAGCAUCUGUCCACUGUGACUGUCCCAAGUAGUCUUCAAUAAAUAUCAAGUUUUACUCCAGUUGAAA